rnacentral:rRNA from 1 species
CUGGCUCAGAAUGAACGUUGGCGGCGUGGAUUAGGCAUGCAAGUCGUGCGAGAAGCCCUCUUCGGAGGGUGGACAGCGGCGAAAGGGAGAGUAACGCGUGGAUACCAACCCCCAGGACCGGGAUAGCCGCGGGAAACCGCGGGUAAUACCGGAUAAUGUCUCCGGACCAAAGGUGUGAUUCCGGCUGGGGACGGGUCCGCGUACUAUAAGCGUGUAGGUGAGGUAACGGCUCACCAAGGCGACGAUGGGUACCGGGUGUGAGAGCAUGGCCCGGCUCACUGGGACUGAGACACUGCCCAGACACCUACGGGUGGCUGCAGUCGAGAAUCUUCGGCAAUGGACGCAAGUCCGACCGAGCGACGCCGCGUGCGGGAUGACGGCCUUCGGGUUGUAAACCGCUGUCAGAGGGGAGGAAAUCCUGUGGGGUUCCCUCCACAGGUUGACCUAUCCUCAGAGGAAGUACGGGCUAAGUUCGUGCCAGCAGCCGCGGUAAGACGAACCGUACAAACGUUAUUCGGAAUCACUGGGCUUAAAGGGUGCGUAGGCGGCCCUGCAAGUUGGGUGUGAAAGCCCUCGGCUCAACCGAGGAAUUGCGCCCAAAACUGCGGGGCUUGAGGGAGACAGAGGUGAGCGGAACUUAGGGUGGAGCGGUGAAAUGCGUUGAUAUCCUGAGGAACACCUGUAGCGAAAGCGGCUCACUGGGUCUCUUCUGACGCUGAGGCACGAAAGCUAAGGGGAGCGAACCGGGAUUAGAUACCCCGGUAGUCCUAGCUGUAAACCGUUGAGCACUUGGUCGGAG